CGUGUGGUUUCCUGUAGUACGCCCCGUGUGGCCCGGGUCACUCCAUGACCGCACUGUGGUUUUUGUCAGCAGCUGGACAACUGGGCU
ensembl:misc_RNA